rnacentral:rRNA from 1 species
CCAAUAGCGUAUAUUAAAGUUGUUGCAGUUAAAAAGCUCGUAGUUGAAUUUCGGGGUCAGCAGGUUGGUCGUGCCUAUGGUAUGCACUGGCCUUGCUGAUUCCUCCCUCUUGAUGAGCCGUAAUGUCAUUAAUUUGGUGUUGCGGGGAAUCAGGACUGUUACUUUGAAAAAAUUAGAGUGUUUAAAGCAGGCAAGCGCUUGAAUACAUUAGCAUGGAAUAAUGAAAUAGGACGUUUGAUCCUAUUUUGUUGGUUUCUAGGAUUGACGUAAUGAUUAAUAGGGAUAGUUGGGGGCAUUAGUAUUCAAUUGUCAGAGGUGAAAUUCUUGGAUUUAUUGAAGACUAACUACUGCGAAAGCAUUUGCCAAGGAUGUUUUCAUUAAUCAAGAACGAAAGUUAGGGGAUCGAAGACGAUCAGAUACCGUCGUAGUCUUAACCAUAAACUAUGCCGACUAGGGAUCGGAUGAUGUUAAUUUUUUAAUGACUCAUUCGGCGCCUUACG